rnacentral:lncRNA from 1 species
CUAAAUCUAUAUUUAGAUGUCUAUUGCAGUUUGAAGCUGAGAUUUCUGUACCUGGUAUUGGCAUGUUCUUCUGCGGUACGGUUUCAUACUGUCUCUAUGUUUUUUUCUAUUUCUAAGUUUUUCAUGUUUUCUAACGAAAAGGGCCUUACUCUGGUUACCAGUUUACUGGUAAGCUGAAGUUCCAACCCCAACAAGGCUAGAGAAGCGAGGAUUGCAGAGUUGUGUCCUGCUUCCUCGGGUUGAGAAGCUGGAGAUGGUGGCUCAGGACGCAGCCAACUCGUCUUGUACUCUGCUGUCACUUUCCCUGAUCAAGUGCUCGUCCCUAGGGCAUAGGGUAUGCAUACUUUGUCGACAUGCUCAUCCUCUAAUUUGAUCGGUACUCUCUUUGGGCCUCCUGUUUGAGCUCUCUCGCUUGCUUGUAGACCGUGUAGAAUUGGGGCAGAUUUUGAGGUAUGCUGCUCAUAUUGUGCUAGAGUGCUACUUAUCGUCUGAUUGUACCUUCUAGGACGAUGGAAAUCUUGGUGUAAUUUGGCACAUGCCGGGUUGUAGGUAGGCUACUCUGGCAUGUAAUGGUAGAGGGCUGAAACUUUCAAAACUGAACUCCCUACUUGAAGGACAGGAGUGAGUAGUUUCAGUUUUUUAAAAGUUCCCUUUGAUGAAAGUUCAUCACCAUCCAGCUGAAAGCACAAUUUGAAAGUUUAAACAUACAAUUGAAUGCCGGGUAAGGUCUGGAGGGGUGGUGUUCACUGCGUGAGAAAUCAUCACAUACUGUGAAAUAGAUGUUCAUAUACCUGUGUUAUACAUAUGAAUGAUGAGUUAAUAACCGUGUACUGCUCAACAUUAG